AUCAACCUCUUUUUGCUUUCAACGUCUUUGCCUCUUGGGUCACAUUCUCGUUCAAUUUUAACACCCAUAAUAGUAUCUCUCUACACACAGGUUAGUUGUCCACAAUUUUCACCCAAUCCGGUUGACGGUACGUUCUUACAACUGCUAGCUAAAUCUUUGCUCAAGAUCCAAAGUUCAUCAUCUAAUCUCUCAUGCAUACUGUUAUAUCUUACUUUUUCUGAGCAGGGGAGCGAUGCUUGAACUCUAAUGGCAGAAUUAGUCAGUGCUGCGAUUGUCCAGGAGACAGUUGGCCAAAUCCUAUCUGGUCUAGGUCAAAAAUAUGAGGAGAAAGAGGAAUCAAAUGAGAAAAGAAACUUGGAGAGGCUAGAGAUGGCACACAUCAGGCUGGAGGCUGCUCUUGAGACAUCUAAUAAGUGGCAGAUCACUGAUGCAUCCUUAUUGCGUUGGCGUAGGAAGCUGAAGCGUGCUGCUCAAGAGUGUGAUGACACACUGCACAAAUGCAAGCAGAGAAUCCUAGAAGACGAACAAAUGGAACGGGAGGUAAAGAAUUCCUCCCUCCCUAACCGUAUUGUGCAUGCUACCAAGUCAUUUGCUCUCUCCAUAUUUAAACGUAAUGACAAUGACUUGAGAAGAUCUAUUGCUCAAAGAUUUGAGUGGUAUGCAGAUGGUGCUAGUGAGUUUCUGAGAUUCAUAGAGCUUGGUGGCACACCACGCCGUCACAUUCCCUUUGAAUCUCUUGUCAGAAACCUUUUUGCAGGCAAGGAACUACAUCAUAAAAUUGUUCGGGGGAAUGAGUAUCCUUUGUUUCAAUUAUGGUUGACUCCCAUCCGUAAUCCAGUGCAUGGAAUAGAUGUUAGCCUAACAUUUAUCCAGUAUGACGGUACACCGGAGGGUAAUAUCUGCUUUAGUUUGGUCGUACAGCUCUCGGAGAGUAUAGACAUAGUUGGGAUCGCAGUUAAGUGCCUCCAGUUAUUUGCCCCUCAUUUCAAGUGUAAAUUUGAAAAUAUUAGAAAUGAACUUACUCAACUGCCCAAUGAAGACUUCUUAUGGGGGCCCUCUUUUUAUUCGGACCAUAAAGAACAUUGGGACAAACUCAAUAGAUUGUCCUCUCAGUUGGUUCGGCCAAACCCAUUUUGUUGCAAGGAGUAUGGACGGCAUGAGGUUCAACAUUUUAGCAGCAUGGAUAUGGCAGGAUUAUCAGAUGGUUUGCUAGAACCAGUAAUUCAAUUUACUUUGCAUUGCCACGUCUCACUACCUAUGUACAGAAAAAAGAAGACCUCACAUUCUGAAGACCUAAUUUCUCUGCAAGAUUGUCCAUAUCUGAAAGCUGGGAUCGCCUUUUCGCCCCAUGGCUCUUUAGAGGACAUGCUGCCAGCGAAUAGGAAUUCUGAGAUAGCGGCGAUAGUCCGCAAGGAGCAACAUUUCUUGCAUACAGACAUUGCCCUGGAACAGCUAGAAGAGAUUAUGCUGCCAAAGGCAAUAGAUUACUUCCACCAGAAUGCCGAAGCAAUGGUUUACCAAAUGCUUUGGAAGUCUAAACAUGGCUUUGCACUUAUUCAGGUUGAGAAGCCAUGCAUGAGCACAUGGAGAUCAAGCAUGAGAAGACAGAGCACUUCUGGGGGAGCUAGGAAAAGAAAGCUGUUGCAAGGAGAUGAUGAAGAGCUCAUUAGGAAUCGGAUACGUCUCUGUCACUGGCUUGACUCAUGGUUUACACAUGUGCCUGUCCGGUUGCAAAGGUCGCUCAUGAAUUGGAUUCGGAAAGAAAAAGAACUAUUGAUAGCAGCACCACAGUUACACCUAAAAUUCUAAAUCAUUUCAUUAAAGAAGAAGAGGGUAAAGAAAAACAAAACCACAACAGCUCUGGGAUCUACAAGUGCUAUGUUCUACAUUAGGAACCUAUGCAACUGUAGCACAUCACUUGUUCUUGGUUUCAAUUUGUUUGUCUUGUAUGUAUGAUGUUUGGUUCUCACCAGUUGAGUAUACGCUAGGAAUUACUCAAUUACAUGGGAGAUCAGAAUGCAGUGCAUUUGUAAGCGUAGACUUAUAAGUGCAGGAUCAUCACUUGUUCUUAUUUUCUAUGACUUUCGAGUGUGUAGCUACUUUCGUUAAGAACUUUUCAGUAAUUGGGCCGUUUUGCAUCCUUGUGAGCCGAAGUUGCAGUCUGAAUAUGUUUCAAUCCCGGAACAUGUUCUCGGCCUCUUUUUUGUGUAUUGGAUGGAUACGGUUUUGGUCAGGGGAUUUCCUUUUGGUAAAAAAGGAAAAAGAAAAACAAAACUGUAGUUGCCAAAAUGUUUCAGUUGCUCGACCAAAGUCAGUCAAAGAAUCGAUUGCUAGGACAGUGUUGACCAUGCGCAGACAACUUGACAUGCCUCAAUGAAUGGACUCGUGCUGUCCCUAGCACACUUCUUCAAGGCUAGGAAAUGGGAUGCAUAGACGAAAUAGUGGAGACUAGGAGAAAGGCAAGCUGUCGCCGAUGAGGGUGUCUGGUGAGGGGUGGGUGCAGUCGAGUUCCUUCCUUGUACGAUGAUGCAUAGAUGGGGAGAUGUUCAUAGCUUUAUAUUUGUUUCAUUCUCCAGUCCUCCUCAGCUAUCCAACCACUCUCCGUAUGAUUUCCCACGCAGAUGUUGACCACGUAAGAUAAUGCCUGUUGGGCAAUUAUAUAUACAACAGAUGACAAGUACUCAAAUAAAAAGUGUCAUGUUGCUGUUAAAGUCGACAAUAUAUAAACUAAGGCGACUUUAAGUCAAGGAACAAUCCUUCUAUAUAUGUCACAUUCUUUUCCUAGCAAUCUCCAUGCUUAACUAAUCAAACUCAUGGCAGGAUUAUCAGAUGUUUUUUUUUGAAUGAACAGGCACGAGAGUGUGUCUAUUUCAUUGAUUGAGCAGGAGUUUACAUGAAAAAAAUAAAACCAAAACAGGAAAACACGGUGUGCCAUUUGGCGAGCUAUGCGAGAAGUUAAGGGACUACUCUCGUGCUAGAAGUAACGCUAGGUCUUUCGCCCCCGCCACUAGCCAAGCUGACCCCUCCUCCCUGAUUUUUGCCAUAAGCAUCGUCGUUGAGCUCUCGUGUCUGUUGAAGGCGCGCGUGUUCCGUUCUUUCCAAAUCUCCCACACGAUGAGUAGAGUUGGACUUCUCAGAGCCUUACUCGGUGAAUCCGGUGUCAUAGUUAUAUAAGUCCACCAUUGCAUUGUGUUGGAUGAGGGCCGCCAUCCAUUUGGCCUGAGGCUUGGCUGCUAUCCAUGUCGCCGUUAGAUCCCAGAUUCUCCUGGUGUAUUUGCACUCGGCCAAGAUGUGGUGGCUAGUCUCCAUGGUUCGUCUGCAGAGGGUGCAAGUAGCGUUGUGCGGCCAUCCAUGUUUGGCCAACCUGUCCACGGAUCAUACGCGGUUUUGUGUAAUUAGCCACAUGAAGAAUUUACAUUUUGGUGGCACCCAUGUUUUCCAGAUUGAUGAGAUAUUCGGUGUUUCGGUGCAGUCCAGGAACUGUGCUUUACAUGCCGAUGUUGUUGUAUACAUGCCUGAUUUUGUUAGUUUCUAGUUGAUAGUGUCCUUGUUUCCUGGAUGAAGUUUCGUCUGUCUGACCAUGUUCCAUAAUAGGGCGAAAGAAGCUAAAUGUAAAAUGUUGAUGUUACUAUUGAUGUUGAGGUCUCGGAUCCGGUUAGUGUUACUGAUGGCUUCGUGAACCAUCCUGUUGUUUCUCCUUGAAAUGGUGAAGAGUAGUAGUGCAAUGUCUUUUGGUCACUGGCCCUGCAACCAGCUAGACUUCUAGAAGCUGGCUUUUUUGCUGUCACCGAGGGUGAUGAUCAUGCAGGCAGCAAAUAGUUGUCUAUCCGUCUCGUCGCAUGGGGUUUCUAUGUUGGUCCAAGGUCUGUCCGAUGAUGUCCACUCAUGCCAUAGCCACCUCAGGCAGAGGGCUCUGGUGAAUUUCUCAAGGUUUGGGAUGCCGAGUCCCCAAUGCUAUUUCGAGAGGCAGGUUCUCAUCCAAUUAAUUUUGCAUUUUCCACCAGUUAGUUGUUGGUCGCCCGCCUAGAGGAAUUUUUUACGGAUUUUGUCUAAGUCUUGAAGCACUUCAUUAUUUGCUUUGAGGGUUGUUAGGAAGUAUACCGGCUGCGAAGAGAGGACUGUUCAUGAGGUUUAUUCUCCCUGCAUGUGUUAGAUUUCACCCAGUCCAAGCUAAUAGUUUACCUGCCACUUUAUUUAUAAAAGGUUGGAAUUCAAUCUUUCUCAGGCGCUUUGUUGACAAUGGAAGACCAAAGUAGCGCAUUGGGAAUGUCGAUCUUGUUACCAGCAGAUCUUGAGUAGUUGGUCAAGGUCAAUGUUUUGGCAUCUUAUGGGUGCAAUCUGUGUCUUGCGCAAGUUUGUGCGUAGGCCAGUGGCUUCCCUGAAGUGUUGGAGGAUGCUCUCAAUGUUGGAGAUGUCUUUACGUGUCGGUUUAAUAAAGAUGGCAGCAUCGUCAGUGUACAAAGAUGCUCUUCCUCCUAGCUUGGUGAGGAGGCUCCUGUCGGUUGCCUGAGCAAUAAUGUGCUGUAGUGGAUCGAUGGCCAGGAUGAAAAGAAGAGGUGAUAGCGGGUCACCCUAUCUCAGACCUCUGCCAUUCUGGAUCGGUGGCAAACGUGUGCCGUUGAAUAGCACUUUUGAAGUCGAGGUAGCAAGGAGGGACAUAAUCCAUUGGCUCCAUCGAGUUGGGAAGCCUUUGUGUUGCAUCAGGGAGAUGAGGUAGUCCUAACGAACUAAGUUGAAGGAUUUGGAGAUGUCUAAUUUCAUUAGUAGGGCCGGAGUUGCAUUUCGAUGGAAACGACGGGCGAUAUUUCUCACGUAUAAGAAGUUGUCAUGAAUACUUCUACCCUUGAUGAAGGCGCUCUGGCAGGGCGAGAUGAUAGCGUUCAUGUGCGGGGCGAAACCCAGCGCUAGAACUUUAGUGAUGAUGUUUGCAAACGCAUGGAUGAGGAUGAUUGGCUGAUACUCCAGGAUGCUUUCGGCACCUUCUUUUUUCGGAUUAGGAUGAUGUUUGAAUUUUUUAGGAGAUUAAGGUCGUUGCAACGGAUGUUGUAAAAAGCGUUAGCUACCGUCAUUAGGUCUCCUUUAAUGAUGUUCCAGCAUGUCUUGAAGAAGAGCCCUGUGAAGCCAUCCGGGCCUGGUGCUCGAUUGUGCGGAAGCUGUUUAAUGGCAUGCAAGAUCUCAAUUUCGUCAAACGGGCGGUCUAGGUCGGAUAGAUCCACCUGAGUGUGAUGUAGGUUUUCCCACCGCAGAUCUCGUGAACGUUGUUGUGGGGUCGUCAUUAUUGGAGAAGUGGUCGUGAACGAUGUCUUGCUUGUCUUGGUGUGAGAGAGCCCAUCCCAUGUGAGUUCUUGGCCAUUGUAUGAAGUUCUUUCUUUUAUGUGCGUUGACCUUAAGGUGGAAGUAUCGUGUAUUCGCAUCUCCCUCCUGAAGGUUUUUGAUACGCGAUGAUUGUCAUUUCCUUGCUUGUUCAAUUACCGCCCAACCCAGAAUACGUUUUUUGAGUUUUGCUCUCAGAGCGAAUUCUACAUCUAAAAGGGGUCUAAUGUCUUGCGCCGCAUCGAGGUGUAGGAUCACCACUUUUGCCAUUUGUAGUUUUAGUUUUGCGUCUAAGAUGAUUGAAGUGCUCCAUUUCCUAAGCACCAUGGUUGUUGAGUGCAACUUUUGGCCUAGGCAGUGGAACGGUUCUGUAUGAUGCGUGGGUAGAUUCCAUGCCUGUUGCACUGUCUUUUGAAAUUGUGGCAAUUUGGUCCAAAAGUUCUCAAAUUUGAAAGGGCGUGGCCUCUGUGGUCCUAAGAGUCUUGCUAGCAGUAGUGGGCAAUGAUCAGAGUGGGAGGAGGAAAGGGUGUGUAGCGUGUGAUCGUCGAAAGCGAUGUCCCAGGCUUCGUACAAAGAAGAAGCGGUCCAGGCGCAAAAGCGUUGGCUGACGCCUUUCGCUGCUCCACGUAUAUUUGCGGUUCUGAAGGUGAAUUUCUUUGAGGCCACAGAAAUCUAGAGUACUUCAAAAGCGACGCAUUAGAGGAGGUUCAAUCUUCUGUUAUUCUUGUCCUGUGCUUUGUAGAUGAUGUUAAAGUCUCCAACGAUCAGCCAUUUAGUGUUGAUGUCGGGUUUUAUGUUUCGCAUAUGUUGUAGAAAUGUCGUUUUCAGUUCUGUCCUUGAUAGUCCAUAUACUAUCGUUAAUCUAAAUUUGGAGUUGCAUUGUUUAGCUGACACUGUUGCAGUAAUUGAGAAGUGCCCAAUCUGGAUGUUUGAUAGAUCAAUAAAGUUAGCAUCCCAUAGAAUAAGGAUUCCUCCCUUGGUACCUUGUGCCGGUUUGUAGGCGAAGUUAGACAGGCGGUAGCCUCCCAGAAAAGAAGCGAGGGCUGCGUCAAUUUGAUUUAGCUUAGUUUCUUGCAGGCACGUUAUAUGGCAUAGCGUCACUUUUAGUGUUUCAUGAACGACCAUGCAUCUCGCGGGAGCGUUAAGGCCUCGCACGUUCCAGCUGAUAGUGUCGAAGCUGCCUAUAUGCAUUCAAAAGACCGUAUGGCGCCGCAGGUUUUCAUGUAGCGUUUCUGUAAGGUGGAGCUGGAGCUGGCUGGAAGUGUCAUGCAUAGUAGUGGGGUAGGUGUGCCAGCGGCGACACGCGCGCAGGGAUAACUAGAAAUGACGUUUGCGGUUAACGUCGAUGCACAGAUAGGUGCAUUGCGCGAAGGUCGAAUCCACCAGGGCGAAAGUCGAUGUCGUGUACAGUAAGCCCGAAGGUCGAAGCCAGCAGGGCUGGUCCAGCUCCUAGCCCGAAGGUCGCAGUUAGCAGUGCGUGGAGGGCUAAAUGAAGAACAGUACGAGAGGAGUCUUGGAUACAUGGAGAGUGCUUUUCUCCAACGGUGCAAAGAUAUUGAAGCUAUCAUUCUUGAGAGAGGGCACGCUCGUUCUGGAUGUCAUCAAUUGCCUGUCCAGCGUGUUGUAGAAGUGCGUCAUUCACCCUUUCCGCUCCUUCAUCGGCGAGAUCAAACAGGGCCGUCAUUGCUGCAAUCAUGUGGUCCGGGAGCGGCCGGUGUGAGUUGAUGUACUCCUAUAGUAUUUCCUCGAUUGGGCAUAGCUCGUCAUCCGAGACACCCAGCUUGCACCACAAGUUGCACUGUGCGCGCUCCAGGGCUGGCACAGCCAGCUUCAUGUCGAGUCACGCACUUCUGCGGACCGAAGACAUGUCGAAGUUCCGGCGCGCGUGUUGACGACGUUCCGGCAGGUGCUGAAGAAUCGCCGGGGCCGGCACGGCGAAGAGGACGUCGACGGUCAAAUCCUCCUGGACGGGCGCAGGAUGUGCCGCAGUCAUGCCUAGCUCUGAAGCCAGCUCCAUGCCUGUCUAUGCAUCAGCUGCCGCGGCCAGGCCGUGCCCUGAAGACCGUUCCGUGGACAUGUGGCCGGCAGCAGCUUCUGCGGCCUGGCCCGGCCUGGUGGGCUGCUCCAUCGCUGUUAGGCCGUCGACAGCUUUCGCGGCCCGGCCCAACAUGGCCGACUGGCCGGCAGCAGCUGCGGCGGGUAGGCCCAGUCCAGACGGCCUCUCCAUGGCCAACUGGCUGGCAGCAGUUGCUACGGGCGAGCCUAGCCCAGGAGGUCGCUCCGUAGCAGUUUCAACACCCAGGCCCAGCGUAGAGAGCCGUGCGCUGAGCACAUUCCCGCCAGUAGCUGUCGCAGUCAGGCCCAGCACAGAAGGUGGGAGGGGCACCAUCUGGAGUGGCCCAGGAGACGUCGCGGCCAACCUAGGAGUCGCCGUGGCUAGCCCCUGUCCGCCAGACAGGAGGAGCCCCGGAGUCGUCCACUCCACGGCUGUCUGGCCGAUAGCAGAUGGCGCAUAAGGAGGCGAGGUGGCUGACGGCAUGGCAGCCAUCACCACGAUGGCAGCGGCCGCCUCCUUCAUUGCGACGUCGUGGCCAUCUGCCGAGGCACACAGGCUGUGCAGCUGGAGCUUGUUUAGGGCGAGGUCGACCUCACGCGUCGAUGGUGCCUCCUGUAGCGCUGCAUGGAGCCUAUAUAAGACGCGUUGUAGGGGCACCAGUUCCUCGACGGGUACAGACCAGGCCUGAUUCCCCUCCGAGCGGAGCUCCAUGUGUGACUAAGCUCACCAGUCACCAUGCCAAUAGGUCAAUGCAUGAACCUCAGCUAGCUACAAGGGCCAAAACUACUAAUGCUGGAGUGUUACCUCGUUGUCCUUGUAUAUAGAAUGAAAACAUGUCUCAUCAUGUAUGCUGGCUGGCAAAAGUAAAAAUGGAUCUCAAGGAAAUAGCACAUGGGUCCGUGCCUUCAAUUGUUCCUAUUUAGGUUAGUGUCCAUAUAUUCCAUAUAAACAUAGGAACUGUUUCACAAAAGGUUUGUGCAAAUCAAAAGAAUUUAAUUGUGUCCAAAACUGGCAUCAAUGCAAGGGGAUAUGUGUAUUUGUUCUAAAGUUGUAGUAUUGAACUUUUUGUUUUUGAAAAUCCUUACAUUAAAUGAACUUUUUUAGUUGAAGAAUAAUUUUAUGUUAUUUGAUAUGCUAUGUGGAACGCUUAGUCGUCAUAUGUUUCUUUGUGCUCUACUUUGGAGUUUGCCAGUUCCAAACUUCUGACCCUCAUUGUGCUUAUGCAGGCUCGUGAUUGCACAUACCAAAAAGAUAGAAAUGGUAGACAUGUCUUAUGGGGCAAUUUGCAACAUUAACGAGUCGACCAUGGGACCUUAUUCCUUGCCACUUGCCAGAUAGCACAGCGCCAUGGAACUGGCAGUGGCACCCACCUCCUGGCUGCAGAUGGAGAAGACGCCGCGCGCACAAGCAGGGAGGAGAGACGUUCACGCGGCUAGGGUUUAUUUCCUACUUCUAUAUUGGUAUAUAUACUAGCAAAUAUUGGUCGAUCAGAAGGUGUUUGCAGAGCAGCCAGGCCGUGUAUCAGUUUUGCGGGGUAGUCCAUCGAGCUCCUCCUCCUCUUCUUACAGAACUACCGUGGGCUGGGCCGUGUCCAGCUUCGUGGGCCGUUUCGAGUUUUCAACCCCAACACCAACAAAAAAGAAAGUCAGGACACGUCACUCGUGACACGUGUUGUCUGAGUUUAUUUUUAAUUUCCUACUAAUUUUGCUAAAAUAAAAGUCAGCCAUUCAGUGGGCGAGAAAUUCAAAUAUGAAAUACGCGUUUGUCCGUCCCACAAAGAGUAUCAAAUUAUACUCGAGUUUAUACAUCCGCACCCAUGAACAAGUUUGCAUAAGCAAACGUGUAGAGAGAGCUAAUCAAAUGAUAUAUUAUUUUCCGGUUUCAAUGCAUGACAUUUAUUUAAGAUUCAGAUAACUAAAAAGAUAGCACGAUUUCUAAUAAUAACAACUAAUUAGGAGCAAUACGAUCAUUUCUCGUGAUUACUAUUGUGUCUCUGAAUUUUUUUUUGAAAGAACACUUUAAUACGGGCCUGAUACGCACAUCAUGAUGAGUAACUUAUUAAAGUUAACAAGGACGAAAUAUGACAAGAGAUCACGCUCGCUGUGCUCCUCUUCCUCCAUAUACGUACACGGUUCACACGUUGGCCCACCGAAAAGGUGCAAGUAUUCCAAGAUUCUCAUGUACUCCAUGUGAGACUGGAAACUCGAUCGAUGCUGCCGGUGCCCCGGCCCUUUCGGUGGUUCCAACUUUUCUUCCUAAUCGCCGCUCGCAGUUUCUUUCUCACUACUUUUCUCAACGUGAUUCGUGUAACACAGCAGAGUGAUGUUGACUUGACUGGACUCAAUUGCACAAACAAUGGGCCCGUGCUUUUUUUUUUUUCUCCCAACAAGAAAGUCUUAACUCUUGAGCCGAAGCUGUGGUCUGGCCUCCAAAACCGCAGCAGAAGCUUUUCCUUCCUGCCCCCGCACGACACGCGUCUGCGUCUCCUCUCGCGCGCGUUCUGACCGCCGCGCCGACCAAACCACUACAAAACGAGCGCGCACGACGCCGCGUCGCCCCCAACUCUCGCCGACAGAACGGAGACGACGACGUCCAGGAUCGUAAUCGUGUUGUUUGUGUGUUGGCACACCUCCGAUCCGGGCGAGGUCUUGGAGGUUCUUGACAGCUCGUCAGCCGGCUCGCAGGCACGAGGUCGUUGCCCCCGAGAUGUCGAGCGUGCUCGGCGGCGGCUUGUCACCGGCGGCGGUGAUCAUGCGGGGGCGGGAAGCGAUCCUCCAGGCCCUCGGCUCGGUCUCGCCGGGCUCAUCAUCAUCACCAGCCGCCGCGCAGGGCGAGCGAGGCGACGACGUCCGGGCCGGGGCCGCGCCGCCGCGGCGUCACGCCCCGGAGGAGGAGGACGGCGCGUCGCCGCAGGACGCAGCUAGCGGGUCCAAGCAGCAGGGGAUGAAGGACACGGGGACGGGCGACGGCGACGCUGGUGCGGUUGCGGCCGGCUCGUCGCCGCCGGGUCGUCUCAGCGCCGAGACCGCUGUGGCCAUCCUCGUCGACUGCUUCGGUCAUUGCUGACAACUGAGACAUCAUCAUCAUGUCAUGACAUCAUCCUCCUCACGCGGAUCCAGACAUCCAGUCGGCAGUCGCCCCCGUUUGACUUUAGUGUAUAUACUACAUGUAUCUUCGUAUAUAUGUAUGCAGUAGUGGAUUAGUGGUACGGAUUUACACUUGCCUUGUACUGUACGGAUGCAUGAGAAGAGAUAUUGUAUUUCGCGAAGUGCAAAACGCUGAAAUUUGAUUGUUAUUUUUGGGAUCAAAAUGGAAGUCCCGGUUCCUCCGGGAGGAGCACAGUCAGCAGGAGAGGGAUGUUGCGGAGUUGCGGCAGGUCGGCGAGCUUGCUCGUGAGCUGGAGGCUGCCCGUCACGAGUUCUAAGACCGGGCGGCGCCAGUGGCCGAAGUCCAGGAGUGGGCGACCCUUGCCGAGCAGGGGCUCACCGCAAACCAGGCCUGCCUGGUGGAGGCCGAGACAGUGGUCGAGGAGCGCCAGGAGGCGGAGCGUGCUCGAGGGGGCGACUGCUGCCGAGUAGGCGCUGGCCGUGGCGCAUUCCCGUUUGUCAGAGAUCGAGGCAGCGGUCGGGGAGCGCCAAGAGGCGGAGCGUUGCAUGCUCGAGCGGGCGACUGCUGCCGAGCAGGCGCUUGCCGUGGCGCAUGCCCAUUUGUCGGAGAUCAAGGCGGUGGUCGGGGAGUGCCUGGAGGCUGAGCGUCACACACUUGAGCGGGCGACUGCUGUUGAGCAGGCGCUUGCCGCUUCGCCGGAGGCUUUGGGGGCAGAGCGGUCGGCCCGAGCGCACGCCAAGCAGAAGGCGCUAUCGUUGGAGCAGGAGGUCACUCGGCUACAGGAGAGGAUGGCCCAACAAGAUGAGGCCGGUCUUACUAUUGGGGAGAGCGCCCGUCUCGGUAAGUAUAUUUUUUCCCUUGGUCAUCAUUUUUGACUCUUUUUUUCUGCUUGUUGACUCGGUCUCCCGUGCCCAAAGCUGGGUGAGAAGGUUGCCCAUCUGCAGUGAGAGCUACAGCAGUCGGAGGAGGGCCGCGCCGCAGUCGUAACCACGAAGAAGGGUAAGUUUCGUCGUCUUGGGAAUUUGAGUCAGGGUUGUACCUGUUUUUGCCUUUCACCGACUUGGCUUCUUGUGCAGCUCUGGAGGCAGAUUUGAAGACGGCCCAAGCAACGGUUGUUCAUAGCGCGGAGACACUAGCCCGGUCCCUAGGGGAGCGAUCCACCAUCGAAGGAGAGCUUGAUCAACUCCGUAACAUGGCGCAGGUGGUGAUCGCUGAGGUGCUCUGGUCGGGCCUGAGCACCAACGCGCCCACCAUCUAGCUCUUGGAGAUUUUGGAUGAAGUUCGGGGGCUCGUCUCCGAUGGUGUGUUCCAUGGGGCAUUGGGAGUGCUGACGUCGGUGGCGACUCACCACCCCACCCUAGACUUCAAGGCCAUCUGCGGAGGGUACGCCAACAGGUGGAGCACGGAGGGGAUCCAGGCGCUGGGUGAGAACUUGACCUCCCCCACACACUGCCUCUGCCUUAUCCUCCUUAUCCGCACACUGCUUAGCACGGCGUAGGCCAUGGUUAGGCGAUGGUGGCGGAAGCGAACACUACUAGAGAAAUCGCCUCUUUUACCGGUCCAGUGUUGGAAAUAUUAGAGGUAGUCAAAAGGCAGAGCGAAAAGGAAGGGAUCAGGAAAAACGCCCAGGACUCUCAGACUCGCGAUUUCCACCCCGCGCCUUGAUCAAAGGCGCAACCAACUCGUGGUUGCGGCCCCAGAUCGCCCAGCACCACAAUAAAAGGGGGUCUGGCAGGGUUUUGAGGUAGUCCAACAGACGCAAAACCCACGCACGCCCCCAAUAUUGUCGUCCCGAUCCCUGGCAGUGUUGGAGCCGUCUGAAGGCAGCCGCCGUUCUACUGCUGUCGUCUCUGGCCAAACGAGAUGGAGGCCAGAAGGACGACAUGAUCUACUCCGAGCCAGUACAUCUACGACGUCCGUCAUCCCGACCUCAUCCACGAGACUGAUGGCCGGAUCAUCACAAUCUAUGGCUGCUGGUUGUGCUUCUAAUCUUUUACUAAAUGGUGUUCAUGAUCUAAAUGUUAAGAUCCUAUUUUAGUUAAGACUAAGUAAUGUAGAAUCCUACAUUUGGUAUCAAUUAAGCCAUCUCAUCUAGAUCUGAACCCUAAGAUCAAUUUCAGAUGCAAUUAGUCUUGCCGACUAGUCCUUGAUGUGCAACUAAGUCAUUUAAGUCUCUGAGUAAGAAUUGCAUGUGUCUCUAGUUGAUUAGAUCCUAAUUGUUGUGCUCAUCAGUGCCUAAAUGUGCUUAUCAGUCCGCUUUUAAUUCGGUUUUGGUCAAGUUUUCAGUCACAAUCUUGAUUAGAUCUUAGUGUGCUUAAUUGGACUUGAAGGAGCCAAAACAGUAGGUUGCAAAUGGAGUUGAAGCUGAAGUUAAGGCUGUUGGAGAUCUCACUUUAGAACUUAGCAGUAGCUUCAGACUUCAUUUAAGUAAUGUUCUUUAUGUACCGUCAAUUAAGAGAAACUUGAUUUCUAUUUCGUCAUUAGAUUGUGAUGGUUAUUCCUACAACUUUGGAAACAAUAAGUGUGUAAUAAGUUUUGAGAAUAAGAUUAUUGGUUAUGCCCCUUUGCAUGAUAAGCUUUACAUGUUGCCUCUAAGUGUUAAUUCCUCUGUGAUGAAUGUAAGCGAUGUCAACCAUAAGCGAAAGAGAAACAUUGAGACUUCGUUGAAAUUGUGGCACUUCCGUUUAGGCCACAUUUCGAAGGGGAGGAUGGAGCGUCUCAUUAGAGAAGAGAUACUUCCAAAAUUAGAUUUCUCUGACUUAGAUCAAUGUGUUGACUGCAUUAAGGGAAAACUUGCAAAACAAAUUAAAAAGGAUGGAGAUAAGCACAGUUUAGAAUUAUUAGAAAUAAUUCAUAUUGAUAUAUGCGGUCCAUUUAAUGUAAGAUUAGUGGAUGGUUAUAAUUAUUUCAUUACCUUCGCUGAUGAUUUCUCCCGCUAUGGAUAUAUUUAUCCCAUACGCGAAAAGUCUGAAGCACUUGAUAAGUUUAAAAUCUUUAAAGCUGAAGUAGAAAAUCAACAUGACUUAAAGAUCAAAGUGAUAAGAUCAGACAGGGGAGGGGAGUAUUAUGGGAAACACUCCACAUAUGAACAAAUUCUGGGACCCUUUGCCAGAUUUCUCCAAGAUAAUGGUAUCGCAACUCAGUAUUCCCCUCCUGGUGAGCCUCAACAAAAUGGUGUUGCUGAGAGAAGAAAUUGUAACCUUAUGAACAUGGUGCGUAGUAUGCUCAAUAACUCUACGCUACCAGUGAGUUUGUGGAUGGAAUCUUUAAAGACUGCCGCACACAUUAGUAAUUGUGUUCCUAGUAAAUCAAUCCCUAAUACUCCUUAUGAACUUUGGAUUGGUAGGAAGCCCAGCAUGAAUUAUUUACAUGUCUAGGGCUGUGCAGCUAAAGCUAAGAUAUUCAAUCCACAACAUGGAAAAUUAGACUUUAAAACCAGAAGCUGCUAUUUUAUUGGAUAUCUGGAAAAGUCAAAGUGGUACCGCUUUUACUGUCCUAAGCGUACCACUAAGUUUGUGGAGAUAAGGCAUGCUGUCUUCUUAGAGGAAACUGGAUGCAUUGAGGCUAGGAAAAUUGAUCUUGAGGAGAUUCGAACUUAUGAGCCGUUGCCCAUAAGAUAGGAUUAUUAUGCUCCUAUGCCAUAUACCACAGUUACAUCUCAGGUAGUGGAACCUCCAGUAAGAGAAUGGGAGGUAACACCUACCUUAAGUGAAAAUGUAGGUGCACCUGUGAUAAGUGAGCAUCAAAGUGAAGAAGAACCUGCUGGUGGAUUGCAAGGGGAGGCAACUAAUGAGCCCAAGGUGGUUCACCAAGAACCUGCUCAAGUAGAGGCACCACAGGCAGUAGCGCCAAAACCUUUGACAAGGUCAACAGUGAGAGGAAGUCCAACCUUUCCGAUGAAUAUGUGUACCUAAGUGAAGAAGUACACGUCAUGGGGAAGGUGGAUCGCCCAAACUCAUUUAAGGAAGCCAUAGGAAGUGAGCACUCGUAUAAGUGGUGCGAGGCCAUAGAAGAAGAGUUGAAAUCCAUGGAAGCAAACAGAGUAUGGGACUUAGUAGAAAUUGCUGAAGGAGCCAAAACAGUAGGCUAUAAAUGGGUCUACAAAACCAAAUAUGACUCUAAAGGGAAGAUCGAAAGGUUCAAAGCAAGACUCGUGGCUAAGGGCUUCACUCAAGUAGAAAGAGUCGAUUAUAAUGAAACCUUCUCGCCUGUCUCAAAGAAAGAUUCAUUUAGAAUCGUUAUGGCUUUAGUAGCUCAUUAUGAUCUUGAGCUGCAUCAGAUGGACGUUAAGACUGCGUUCCUUAAUGGUGACUUGCACGAGAAUGUAUACAUGAAGCAACCUGAAGGUUUCAUCUUGGAAGGCAAGGAACAUUUGGGAUGCAAACUAAGAAAAUCCAUUUAUGGAUUGAAACAAGCGUCCAGACAAUGGAUGAAGUAAUUAAGAAAAUUGGCUUCAUUGAAAAUAAGAAAGACAACUGCAUAUAUGUUAAGACUAAGGGGAGCUCUAUAAUCAUCCUAGUGUUUUAUGUGGAUGACAUCCUAUUAGCAAGCAGCGAUAAAAACUUGAUGCAUGAGACAAAGGGCUUUCUCUCAUCGAAAUUUGACAUGAAGAACCUCGGUGAUGCCGCUUAUGUCUUAGGCAUUGAGAUUCACCAAGAUAGGUCCAAAGAUGUAUUAGGACUCUCUCAAAAAGCUUACAUAGAGAAGGUCCUUGAAAGAUAUAAUAUGAGCCAAUGUUCAGGCACAGCUGCUCCAGUUGUCAAGGGCGAUAAAUUUGGGUUAUUUCAAAGUCCCAGGAAUCAAUUAGAAGUUGAUCAAAUGAGAAUGAUUCCUUAUACUUCAGCUAUCGGAAGCAUAAUGUAUGCACAAGUGUGUACACGCCCUGACUUGGUCUUUAUAAGUGGGAUGCUUGGAAGAUAUCACUCUAAUCUAGGAAUAGGCCAUUGGAAAGGAGUUAAGAAAGCCUUGCGUUACAUGCAAGGCACUAAGAAUUACAUGCUAAUGUAUAAGAGAACUGAGAAAUUAGAGAUAAUCAGAUAUUCAGAUGCUGAUUUUGCGGGUUGUGUUGACACAAAAAGAUCCACAUCAGGUUAUAUCUUCACACUUGCAAAUAGGGCUAUAUCGUGGAAAAGCUGCAAACAAACACUGACAACUGCAUCAACAAUGCAAGCUGAGUUUGUGGCAUGUUAUGAAGCUGUGGACCAAGCUAUAUGGAUUAAGAAUUUUAUCCCAGGAUUAAGAGUGGUAGACAGCAUAAGUAGGCCACUAAAAUUAUACUACGAUAAUAAGUCAGCAGUUUUCUAUUCGAAUAACAACAAGUUAAGUGAUGCUGCAAAGCACAUUGAGCUUAAGUAUCUUAUUGUGAAAGAUAGAAUCCAAGAUCACACCAUUGAGUUAUUAGAGCAUAUAAGUAUAAGAGGAUGCUUGUGGAUCCAUGGACAAAAGGCUUACCUCCCAUUAUAUUCAGUGAACAUGUUGCCGGCAUGGGAUUAUCGGAUAGCCUGUGAUCUUGGAGGGUCAUAAGACAACCAUCUCUCAUCAUGAUAGGUAGUUUUAUACAUUGUGGAUAAUUGUGUCACAGUGGGAUUUUAAUCACCAUUGUCACACAUUAUCUCCCUGCAUAAUUUUGCUUUAAGAAUGGCAUAAGUUAUAGGCGUUUAGACCAAAGGGGAGAAUGUUGGAAAUAUUUAGAGGUGGUCAAAUGGCAGAGAGAAAACGAAGGGAUAAGCAGGAAAAACGCCCAUGACUCUCGGACUCGUGAUUUCUACCCCGCGCAUUGAUCGGAGGCGCAACCAAGUCGUGAUUUCCACCCCGCGCCUUGAUCGGAGGCGCAAUCAACUCAUGGUUGCGGUCCCAGAUCACCUAGCGCCACAAUAAAAGGGGGCCUGUAGGGUUUUGAGGUAGUCCAUCAGACGCAAAACCCACACACGCCCCCAAUAUUGUUGUCCCGAUCCCUGGUGGUGCUGGAGCCAUCUAAAGGCCGCCAUCAUUCUACUGCUGUUGUCUCUAGCCAAACGAGGUGGAGGCCAGAAGAACGACGCAAUCUACUCCGAGCCAGUACAUCUACGGUGUCCGUCAUCCCGACCUCAUCCAUGACACUAAUGGUCAGAUCGUCACAAGCUUUGGCUACUGGUUGUGCUUCUAAUCUUUUACUAAGUGGUGUUCAUGAUCUAGAUGUUAAGAUCCUAUUUUAGUUAAGACUAAGUAAUGUAGAAUCCUACAUCCGAAACCCCCUCUAGUACCGGUUGUACAACCGGUACUAGCAAUCCGGUAUUAGGGGGUCCUCUAGUACUGGUUGAGAUAACCGGUACUGGAGGAUGUUAAAAAAUUAAAAAAUAAAAGAAAUUCCCCCAACCCCGCCCAUGUCACCGCCAGCCCCCGCCACCCCCUUAUCGGUGAGCCCCCUCCACCUCCCUCUGCACCCCCCCCCUCCGCUGGCCCCUUCAGCUGCCUCUUGACUCCCCCACCCAUCCUGCCACUACCGGCCCCCUCUGCCCUUCCGGCAACCACCUCCGACUCCCCUUCCGCCCCGCUCGCUCCACCCCUCCUCCGGCCCCCUUCCCCGUUGCCCCCGCGGCCGGCCCUCCUCCGUCCCCCCUCUUCCGCCGCUCCGCCCGCGGCCGGCCGUUGCUGCCGCCGCUCACCUUCCCACCUCCCCCCUCCCCCUUCCCCCCCCCCCUCGUCACUGCUCCUCAUUGCUGGUGAGGGGCUCGCGGAGGGGGAGGGGAGAUGAGGUAGUGGAAGGAGAUCUAGAGCUAGCGGAGGAAGGAAGAAGAUAGAGGAGAGAAAGAUAGCAGUGGAGGAGAGAAGCAGCCUUAGCAAGAGGAGAUAAGGUAGGGGCCGCGGGGCAGGUGAGUAAAAAAAUCUAAGUGUGCAUGCGGACGUGCGCAGGGGCGGCUUGCCUUUAGUACCGGGUGGGGGCUAAGGGGUUCCUCGGGGACUAUUCAUUAGGCCGGGUACUAACAUUAGUACCGGGUACCGGGUUAAAAAGUGAUCGGUACUCAGUCUUGGGAUGAGAGGUCAUUUUUCUUGCAGUGGAAGCAUGCACGGAGAGGUGGCGGAGGCCUCGGGAGGAUUGCAGAAACGGUGGCGGACGCUGAGGACAUUGCGACGUUUUGUAGGUUGCACCGGCGAAGAAAGCUGGUCGACGGGUAGGUAGGCAGUGUGCCCAGGCUGCCGCUUUAUUUUUAAUGCGCGGGCCACAGCGGCCAGUAAACAGGAAAUUAACAGCAGGAAAAUAAAUCGGCCAGCAAACAGCCGGCGUCCUGCAUGGAGGCAUGCAUGCGCUGCAAGUCUGCAACCGGGCCCAGCGGAGGUGCAAAACUAAUGCAGCUAGCAUGCACCGUCUCCUGCCUUGGUCACUGGACUGCUGCUCCAUGCGUAUAAGAAACCAAAACGGAGGGAGUAAUAAUUAAACAGUAAGGAUGUCUCCAACAGCUUGAGAUAUCCGCUAGCUCAACGGGGAAAAAAGAGAGAAAAAAGUUGGCGUAGCAGGACAGCUCGAGGCUCGUGCAGUGAGAGGGGAGAGUAUCGGGAGACGUGCAAGUUUUUCCCAAAUGGGGCAAAAAAAAUGUUCCCAAAUUGUCAGGUUUUUUUCCCAAGAGGCCCAAAUUGUCGGUUGAGCGGCCUUCAUUGACGCGGAUGUCGUAGCACGAUAUCCUGUGGGGCCAGCCCAUCACUGUACUGGGCCGAGGGCUUGCUAGGGGCCUAGACUAGCACGAUAUCCUGUGGGGCCAGCCCAUCACUGUACUGGGCCGAGGGCCUGCUAGGGGCCUAGACUGUGGCCGCUGCCACGCAUCAUCCGGAAAACCUAUACAUCUUCUCGAGGCAUUGAACCUUAAAGUGUUUGAGAUUCGUGCAAGUACUUAGGUCCAUCGGAUCUAUAUCAACUCAAACACUAGCUCCCUUCCCUCCCUCCCCUGCCUGCGCGGCCGCCCCCGUGGGCCCUGUUGCCGCCGCCCUCCCCUCCCUCCCAUGCAUGCGCCGCGUCGGCGGCCGCCUACCCCUUCCUCCCCUGCUGCCACCGUCGUGGCCGGCCGGCGCGCCAGCUGGUGCUAGAGCCGGAGAAGAAGGUUGGAUUCAAUUUUUUUUUUCAAAAACUGCUGGUGCAACUUUUUUUAAAAAAAUGUUGGAUUCAACUUUUUCUAAAGAAAUGUUGAUUCAACUUUUUUGAGUAAAUGUUGGUUCAACUUUCCAAAGAAAUGUUGGUUGAACUUUUUGAAAAAAAAUGUUGGCCCAACUUUUUUGAAAAAAAUAUUGGAUAAUAUUUUUUAUCCAUAGUGAGCCAUCAUCAAAUGGGAGGGUUGGGGAAGAAGGCGAGGAAGAAGAAGAUAAGGUUGAGAUGGCCUUGGUGGGCUGGAAGUUUCAUCUCCUACACAUCAUUUACUCGCAGCUUUCGCCGCCAUGCGCCGCCGAGACAGAGGGAGAGGAGGCCACUGACGAUGAGGUCGGCCGUCGGCGGCAAGGGUGUGGCUGCGGCGGGUUCUGUUUUUACUCUCUAAUCUUGGGCGUCACUUCUUCUUUAACAUCCUUCUAUAACAUUACAUUAGUGACUCGUCUUCUUCUUUUUCCUCUCUAAUCUUGGGCAUCACUUCUCCUUCUUAAGUUUUCAUCUUUCCUUGCAACAUUAAGUUGGCAUCUUAAGCACGGCAUGAAAAUUGUUCCUGCAAACUAGGAAUGUUCGAAUAUUUUCAGUUAUUGAGAAGUGGCAGUUCAUUCAUCUGGAACCUUUCAAAGAAGAAGACAUUGUUGAAUUCCUUGUUCAGUAGCAUGCAAAUUAGAUAUAUCGCAUUAUGCUUUGUUCACCGGGUCUUGGAAGUAAUCCAACCACCCUCAAAUGAUGAUAGCUUUAUGCAUACUGGCCAAUUAUGUGCAGACACGUACUGAAGUGCAGAUUGUCACUUUGCUCUGAAGUCAAUACACAUUUUGGAAACGAAGUCAAGUCAAAAUAUAAUACUCAUUUAGUCAAAAAAAUUCCUCAUGUAUAUGCCAAUUUAUCCCCACCCUCAGUAUCAUUUUCUUAUGAUCUUGUCAAUCAUGUACAGAUAUAGUUCCUUUUUUGUUCCAGAUUGCAGCUUCAUUCAUCAAGCACGGUCCAUUUCAUUGACGGUAGUCCGUUGGACCGAAUUACAUGAUAGCAAAAAGAUAAAUAUUUUUAAAUUGUGUUUCAAGCUUUCACUUUCGUUCCCUGACCGCCUGUCGCUGUUAGUUAUCAAACUGACCCAACUUUCACGCGAUCUGACGCACCUCUUCCACUUUCUUCCAUGUAAUGUAUGAUGGCCUAGUUUAUUCAAGCCUAGUUUGACUUAAAUCAGACUUCCUGAUUAAAAGAAUCAUCUAACUACCGUUGGGAGAUGACGAGCGUUGGGAGAUGAUUAAAGGAGGAUGACGAGCGGCCGGAGACGGGGUUUCCGUCAAGUCAAGUCAAGUCAAAGAAACAAUUCUUUUAUGCAAAAGUUAAAUAAGAAACAAUCCGUCUUCUGGCCAACGUAACAGACGGGUUGCCCGACCAAAGUCAGUCGCCGGAGACGGGGUCCGACGGGUCUCAGACAGUCAGACUGUGGUUGCCCCGGCCGGAGAUGAGAUCCGACGGGGGCCUGUUGGGCAAUUCUUCUGGCCAACGUAACAGACUCUCAUGUUUCCGUCAAGUCAAACAAACAACCACUACCGAAACUGAAGAUUUGUCGAGUGCAAUAGUAUUUGCCGAGUGUAAUUCUUCGGGCACUCGACAAACAAGCUUUUUGCUGAGUGCUGCAAAACAAACACUCGGCAAAAUAAUUGCACUUGGCAAAGUCUUUGUUGAAUGCCCGACAAAAAUAAUUGCACUCGGAAUAAUUUCACUUUCGUUCCCUGACCGUCUGUCGCUGUUAGUUAUCAAACUAACCCAAUUUUCACGCGACCUGACGCACCUCUUCCACUUUCUUCCAUGUAAUGCAUGUUGGCUUAGUUUAUUCAAGCCUAGUUUAACUUAAAUCAUACUUCCUGAUUAAAAGAAUCCCAAAUCCAUACAACCUCUAACUACCGAAGUUGUCUAACUUGGACAUCGCUAUCUUCUCCUUAAGUUAUCAUCUUGGCUUGCAGUAUGAUUUACCAUUAUUCAAUCAAAGGAAGGUUCCUGCAGCUGCUAAGCUAACUCUUUUCUUCUUAUCCAAAAUUCAUGUAUCUAUCUCCCAUCUAGAUUGUUAUAUGUCGUACUUCCUGAAUAUGGAUGGAAGGGAUACUAUAUAUGCUUGAAUCCUAAUGGCACAGAUUGUCAGUUCCACAGUUGUCCAGUCCCGGCUGAGAUUGCUCAUGUAUUAUAUGAUGAUCUUUGCACUGAUGGAAAACGGGGCAUUAAUCCCGUUUGGUAGGGCUCAAAUCAACCAAAAAUCUUCCGGGAUAAAAUUUUCAAGACGAAGGGGAUUCUUUAGUCCCGGGUGAAUAACCUGGGACGACUAAAGACCCCCUUUAGUCCCGGUUGGUAAAAUCAACCAGGAUAAAAAUGUUUCAAAAAAAUUAAAAAAGGCCGCCCGCUGCCCGCCCGCAGACGCUCGCGCGAGGCAGCACUCGCAUACUUUUGUGUUCCUGCUUCACACUGGUCUGACACAUGAGUUCAUGUUGUCCCAUAAAGUUGCAGCUCUGGUUCAAGAUGCUGUCAAAAACCAUUUCGUAUUUGAAAGCUUUAGCUAAGAUGGUAGAUCCACAGGUUAGAUACUGUUCGUGAUUGAAAUUGGCAAACCUGGACAGACCUGUUUAGAUCGGUCUCCCAAACCGGUCAGACCGGUUUGGUCAAAGUGCUCAAAAUGCAAAUUGAACUUCACCGUUGCAUAGCUCUCAUCGAGUAGACCAAAAUACAUACGUAGAACAUCCGAUUGGAGUUCGGAUGAGAGAGUUAUGACCUUGGGAAGAUCUGCCCCUAAGCAGACAGGUUAGACCGAUUUAGGUCCGUAGAGUCUGAGUAGGAGUUGUAUUUUCUAACAAGAUUUAUAAGGGUUUCAACUCCAUUAGGCCCCUCCCUAUAAAUAUAAAGGUUCACGACCAAUUGAGGGUAUCCAAUCGAUCAAAAACACAUCUUUUAUCUUUUUUACCAUUUUCCUUUGCCCUAGCUUUUCCAAUCUACUAUUUGUUGUUCCUCCUUCAUCUCUAGGGUGUUCUAGGUGGCAUGCCGAUCCUAGAGCAAACCUGUGUGCGCUUGCCCCGACGGGAUCCUUCCCGGGCGAGUGUUUGUUGGUCGGUCGUCGGGUUGCCCCGGCGAACCGGUCUGACCGGUCUAUCGAACCGGUCUGACUGGCCUAUGCAGAGGUGCUGCAAGGUGCGCCCCUGCCCACUACACAUUCGAGUACGUUCAUGUGUUGGCCUGAUUUUAGCGCCAACAGAUACCAACCCGUAAUGACAGAGUAACAUCUGAAAUGGUUGGACUACAUGCAGUUUUGUGCUUGAGCUAAACAGGCACUCGCAAUGGUUGAAGCACAUCGCCGCCACGAACAGCGCUGGAUGCCGACGGAGGAGUGUCAGCUGGGUUGGGCCUUAUUGUACGAAAGUUAAUUCGAUUUGGCCUGGCCCAGCCCAUCAUCACACUUCCUGACAAGGUGACUCCGAGCCCCACAUGGCCCGCCGCCGGGGGUGGUGCAGAGUACGGCGGUGAUGGGGCCGGGGGCUCAUGGGAGGAGAGGGAAAGGCGUGGCGGAGGAUGAUGAGCUGCCGGAGACGGGUCUGAGGUGCCGCCUAUUCUGGCGACACGCAGGUGGGGUCAAGGUACGAUCGAUUUGCUUCCCCACCUAACAUGGCACUCGCUAGUCCCUAUUACUUCUGGCUUCCGCGUCUCUGCGUUGAGAGAGAUGAUUCGCAGGAGAAUAUGUGAUGGAUUUAUACUGUGAUGCUUGAAUAUAGCAGAAAUGGUUGCCAGUAUAACGCUAAAAUCUUACUCUUGCAGAUGUGAGAUCAAUCAUUCCUAUUUUUUUAAUGGCAAUACAACCUAGCAGUGUAUUUGCAAUUUAUCAUAUACAGCAGAUGUAAGCUCUGUUUCAUUGGUUUCAUUGGUUGUAUUAGUUACUCGUGUAAGUACCCAAUGAUCUUCAACCCGUGUUGUAAUACGUAAUUAUUUCCAUCUUUUUAAUACAAAGAUACGCAGCUCUCCUAGGUUCUUGAACAAAAAUAGUAAAACACGCAUAGUCGGUCAAACCAAAUUUUCCAAGAAAUGGUUAUGCUAUUCGUACGUCGCCACGAUCUUCUACUGCUUUAGACUAAAGAUGUGGCCAUAUUGGACCACGUUUGUUUUUGUCUCCGGUCAGACUAGCGUGCCAUGUACGUUUGGGAAAAAAAGGAGACUAGUACGCCAUGGAAAAAGUAGCAAAAGGUCAUCUUUGAAUAGACCCUUGUAUAGAGACCAAAUCUUCAACACCUCUCUCUAUCAGACCCCAGUUGCUGACUUGUCCUUUUCCUGCCCUCUCAAAGUCUUUAUAAACAUUGUAUUCUUAAGUUCUCAUCUUACCCUCCAAAAGUUCUCUAUACGAAGGAUAGCUGUGCACCACUUCCAUGUGAUUCAAUCAAAGGUGAGCCGUAAAUCUUUCCUUGUGAUCAAAAGUUCAUAUAUCUGUUGUCUCAUGUAUAGUAUUCUAUGUUGCAUUUCCCGAGCAGACUACAGGAGCUAUUGUUAAUUGAAUCGUAAUGGCGGAGAUGGUGAGUUCUGUGGUUGCCCAGGAAACAUUUAGCCAAAUCCUGUCUGGACUGGUUGACAGGUACAAGGAAAAGGAGGACUCAAGUGCAAACAGAAACUUGGAGAGGCUAGAGAUGGCACACAUCAGGCUGGAGGCUGCUCUUGAGACAUCUAAUAAGUGGCAGAUCACUGAUGCAUCCUUAUUGCGUUGGCGUAGGAAGCUGAAGCGUGCUGCUCAAGAGUGUGAUGACACACUGCACAAAUGCAAGCAGAGAAUCCUAGAACACGAACAAAUGGCACAGGAGGUAAACAAUUCCUCCCUUCCUAAUCGUAUUGUGCAUGCUACCAAGUCAUUUGCUCUCUCCAUAUUUAAACCCAAUAACAAUGACUUGAGAAGAUCCAUUGCUCAAAGAUUUGAGUGGUAUGCAGAUGGUGCUAGUGAGUUUCUGAGAUUCAUAGAGCUUGGUGGCACACCGCGCCAUCACAUGCUCUUUGAAUCUUUUGUCAAAAACCUUUUUGCCGGCAAGGAACUCCAUCAUAAAAUUGUUCGGGGAAACGAGUGUCCUUUGUUUCAAUUAUGGUUGAUUCCCAUCCGUAAUCCAGUGCAUGGAAUACAUAUUACCCUAACAUUCAUCCAGUAUGAUGGUACACCAGAGGGUAAUAUCAUCUUUAGUUUGGCCGUACAGCUCUCGGAAAGUAUAGACAUAGUUGGGAUCGCAGUUAAGUGCCUCCAGUUAUUUGCCCCUCAUUUCAAGUGUAAACUUGAAAAUAUUAGAAAUGAACUUACUCAACUGCCCAAUGAAGACUUCUCAUGGGAGCCCUCUUUUUAUUUGGACCAUAAAGAACAUUGGGACAAAUUCUAUAGCUUGCUCUCUCAGUUAAAUCGGCCAAACCCACUUUGUUGCAAGGAGCAGGACAGCAUCAGGUUCGACGUUUUAGCAACAUGGACAUGGCAGGAUUAUCAGAUGGUUUGCUAGAUCCAGUAAUUCAAGUUACUUUGCAUUGGUACGUCUCACUACCUAUGUACAGAAAAAAGAAGACCUCACUAUCUGAAGACCUAAUUUCUCUGCAAGAUUAUCCAUAUCUGAAAGCUGGGAUCGCCUUUUCGCCCCAUGGCUCUUUAGAGGACAUGCUGCCAGCGAAUAGGAGUUCUGAGAUAGCGGUGAUAGUCCGCAAGGAGCAACAUUUCUUGCAUUCAGACAUUGCCCUGGAACAGCUGGAAGAGAUUAUGCUGCCAAAGGCAAUAGAUUACUUCCACCAAAAUGCCGAAGCAAUGGUUUACCAAUUGCUUUGGAAGUCUAAACAUGGCUUUGCACGUAUUCAGGUUGACAAGCCAUGCAUGAGCGCAUGGAGAUCAAGAAUGAGAAGACGGAGCACUUCUGGGGGAGCUAGGAAAAGAAAGCUAUUUCAAGAAGAUGAUGAGGAGCUCAUUAGGCUUCGGAUCCGUGUUUGUCACUGGUUUGACUCAUGGCUUACACAUGAGCCUGUCCAGUUGCAAAGGUCGCUCAUGAAUUGGAUUCAGAAAGAAAAAGAAAGUUUGAUAGCAGCACCACAGUUACACCUGAAAUUCUAAAUCAUUUCAUUAAAGAAGAAGAGGGUAAAGAAAAACAAAAUCACAACAGCUCUG
rnacentral:lncRNA from 1 species